AGUGAACGCUGGCGGUAGGCCUAACACAUGCAAGUCGAACGGCAGCACAGUAAGAGCUUGCUCUUACGGGUGGCGAGUGGCGGACGGGUGAGGGAUACAUCGGAAUCUACUUUUUCUUGGGGGAUAACGUAGGGAAACUUACGCUAAUACCGCAUACGACCUACGGGUGAAAGCAGGGGAUCUUCGGACCUCGCGCGAUUGAAUGAGCCGAUGUCGGAUUAGCUAGUUGGCGGGGUAAAGGCCCACCAAGGCGACGAUCCGUAGCUGGUCUGAGAGGAUGAUCAGCCACACUGGAACUGAGACACGGUCCAGACUCCUACGGGAGGCAGCAGUGGGGAAUAUUGGACAAUGGGCGCAAGCCUGAUCCAGCCAUACCGCGUGGGUGAAGAAGGCCUUCGGGUUGUAAAGCCCUUUUGUUGGGAAAGAAAAGCAGCAGGUUAAUACCCCGCUGUUCUGACGGUACCCAAAGAAUAAGCACCGGCUAACUUCGUG
rnacentral:rRNA from 1 species